UACACAUACAUAUAUAUUUUCCAUACACAAUGGCAGUCAUUCAUGUAAAUGAUAUUUUUUUUGGGAAGAAUUUUUGUAAUUUAAAAAAUUUACUCAUUAUUUUUUUCUCAAACAUAGAUGUUUUAUUAACAAGGAUUCAUUAUUAAUUAUUUAUUUUUACAAGAAAUAAAAUAUAGAUUGGCUAAAUUUUAAUCUUUUUUAGUUUUUUUAAUAUUUAAAUUAAAAUUAAUUUAUUAAAAAUAUUGUAAUUUUCUUUUUAAAAUAUUUUACAAAUUAUUAAAUAUUUCUACAAGCAUUAUAUAUCUAGGUAGUUUUACAACUAAAAAAAAUGAAAUAAUCAUAAUAGUGUGGUCAUAAAAAACCACCACUAAAAUGAGUCUUUAUUAUAUAUAAUAGUAAAUACCACAUAUGAAAUAUCAUCAAAUCAAAUCAAAUCCUUAUACAAAGCACCAAAUUUUGCAUCCAUACUUUUAAUAAAAAUCUAAAUCUUUAAAGAACAAUUCUAAAUUUUGGUCAACAUUGUAUCCUUUCUUAUCUAAUGCAUUACUAUUAUCUUCUUUUGUAAUCAUAUAUUGGCAAUUUUUGCACUCACUUUUGGUAACUCUGGUAAAAAAUAUGUUGAAAUCACCACACUUUGGACAUGCUUCUUUGUACAACUUAGAUAGUCUCACUCAUGUAUGCUUCUUUUGAACAACUUCUUGUCUUUGUU
rnacentral:lncRNA from 1 species